rnacentral:rRNA from 1 species
ACGGAGGAUGCAAGCGUUAUCCGGAUUCAUUGGGUUUAAAGGGUGCGUAGGCGGGGUAAUAAGUCAGUGGUGAAAGCCUACAGCUUAACUGUAGAAUUGCCGUUGAUACUGUUAUCCUUGAGUAUAGUUGAGGUAGCUGGAAUGUGUGGUGUAGCGGUGAAAUGCUUAGAUAUCACACAGAACACCAAUUGCGAAGGCAGGUUACUAAACUAUAACUGACGCUGAGGCACGAAAGCGUGGGGAGCAAACAG